rnacentral:rRNA from 1 species
UACGGGGGGGGCAAGCGUUGUUCGGAAUUACUGGGCGUAAAGGGCUCGUAGGCGGCCAACUAAGUCGGAUGUGAAAUCCCCAGGCUCAACUUGGGAACUGCAUCCGAUACUGGAUGGCUUGAAUUCUGGAGAGGGAUGCAGAAUUCCAGGUGUAGCGGUGAAAUGCGUAGAUAUCUGGAGGAAUACCGGUGGCGAAGGCGGCAUCCUGGACCGACAUUGACGCUGAGGAGCGAAAGCUAGGGGAGCAAACGGG